rnacentral:rRNA from 1 species
UUACGGGAGGCAGCAGCAAGGAAUUUUCCGCAAUGGGCGCAAGCCUGACGGAGCAACGCCGCGUGGGGGAGGACGCCCUUCGGGGUGUAAACCUCUUUUCUCGGGGACGACGAGCGACGGUACCCGAGGAAGAAGGACCGGCAAACUACGUGCCAGCAGCCGCGGUAAUACGUAGGGUCCGAGCGUUGUCCGGAGUUACUGGGCGUAAAGCGCGCGCAGGCGGCUGUCCAAGCCCGGCGUGAAAGCCCCCGGCUCAACCGGGGAGGGUCGUCGGGGACUGGGCGGCUUGAGGACGGCAGGGGUCGGUGGAAUUCCCGGUGUAGUGGUGAAAUGCGUAGAGAUCGGGAGGAACACCCGUGGCGAAGGCGGCCGACUGGGCCGGACCUGACGCUGAGGCGCGAAGGCGUGGGGAGCGAACGGGAUUAGAUACCCGAGUAGUC